CAGUCGUACGCUUCUUUUUCACCGGAGCUUGCUCCACCGGAAAAAGAAGAGUGGCGAACGGGUGAGUAACACGUGGGUAACCUGCCCAUCAGAAGGGGAUAACACUUGGAAACAGGUGCUAAUACCGUAUAACAAUCGAAACCGCAUGGUUUUGAUUUGAAAGGCGCUUUCGGGUGUCGCUGAUGGAUGGACCCGCGGUGCAUUAGCUAGUUGGUGAGGUAACGGCUCACCAAGGCCACGAUGCAUAGCCGACCUGAGAGGGUGAUCGGCCACAUUGGGACUGAGACACGGCCCAAACUCCUACGGGAGGCAGCAGUAGGGAAUCUUCGGCAAUGGACGAAAGUCUGACCGAGCAACGCCGCGUGAGUGAAGAAGGUUUUCGGAUCGUAAAACUCUGUUGUUAGAGAAGAACAAGGAUGAGAGUAACUGUUCAUCCCUUGACGGUAUCUAACCAGAAAGCCACGGCUAACUACGUGCCAGCAGCCGCGGUAAUACGUAGGUGGCAAGCGUUGUCCGGAUUUAUUGGGCGUAAAGCGAGCGCAGGCGGUUUCUUAAGUCUGAUGUGAAAGCCCCCGGCUCAACCGGGGAGGGUCAUUGGAAACUGGGAGACUUGAGUGCAGAAGAGGAGAGUGGAAUUCCAUGUGUAGCGGUGAAAUGCGUAGAUAUAUGGAGGAACACCAGUGGCGAAGGCGGCUCUCUGGUCUGUAACUGACGCUGAGGCUCGAAAGCGUGGGGAGCAAACAGGAUUAGAUACCCUGGUAGUCCACGCCGUAAACGAUGAGUGCUAAGUGUUGGAGGGUUUCCGCCCUUCAGUGCUGCAGCUAACGCAUUAAGCACUCCGCCUGGGGAGUACGACCGCAAGGUUGAAACUCAAAGGAAUUGACGGGGGCCCGCACAAGCGGUGGAGCAUGUGGUUUAAUUCGAAGCAACGCGAAGAACCUUACCAGGUCUUGACAUCCUUUGACCACUCUAGAGAUAGAGCUUCCCCUUCGGGGGCAAAGUGACAGGUGGUGCAUGGUUGUCGUCAGCUCGUGUCGUGAGAUGUUGGGUUAAGUCCCGCAACGAGCGCAACCCUUAUUGUUAGUUGCCAUCAUUCAGUUGGGCACUCUAGCAAGACUGCCGGUGACAAACCGGAGGAAGGUGGGGAUGACGUCAAAUCAUCAUGCCCCUUAUGACCUGGGCUACACACGUGCUACAAUGGGAAGUACAACGAGUCGCGAAGUCGCGAGGCUAAGCUAAUCUCUUAAAGCUUCUCUCAGUUCGGAUUGUAGGCUGCAACUCGCCUACAUGAAGCCGGAAUCGCUAGUAAUCGCGGAUCAGCACGCCGCGGUGAAUACGUUCCCGGGCCUUGUACACACCGCCCGUCACACCACGAGAGUUUGUAACACCCGAAGUCGGUGAGGUACCUUUGGAGCCAG
rnacentral:rRNA from 1 species